rnacentral:piRNA from 1 species
UUGUGCCAGAAAUCUAGAGAAGACGA